ACACAUGCAAGUCGAGGGGCAGCAUCAUCAAAGCUUGCUUUGAUGGAUGGCGACCGGCGCACGGGUGAGUAACACGUAUCCAACCUGCCGACAACACUGGGAUAGCCUUUCGAAAGAAAGAUUAAUACCCGAUGGCAUAAUAUUUCCGCAUGGGAUUAUUAUUAAAGAAUUUCGGUAAAAGAUGGGGAUGCGUUCCAUUAGGCAGUUGGCGGGGUAACGGCCCACCAAACCUUCGAUGGAUAGGGGUUCUGAGAGGAAGGUCCCCCACAUUGGAACUGAGACACGGUCCAAACUCCUACGGGAGGCAGCAGUGAGGAAUAUUGGUCAAUGGGCGAGAGCCUGAACCAGCCAAGUAGCGUGAAGGAUGACUGCCCUAUGGGUUGUAAACUUCUUUUAUAGGGGAAUAAAGUGAGCCACGUGUGGCUUUUUGUAUGUACCCUAUGAAUAAGGAUCGGCUAACUCCGUGCCAGCAGCCGCGGUAAUACGGAGGAUCCGAGCGUUAUCCGGAUUUAUUGGGUUUAAAGGGAGCGUAGGUGGACAUGUAAGUCAGUUGUGAAAGUUUGCGGCUCAACCGUAAAAUUGCAGUUGAUACUGUGUGUCUUGAGUACAGUAGAGGUGGGCGGAAUUCGUGGUGUAGCGGUGAAAUGCUUAGAUAUCACGAAGAACUCCGAUUGCGAAGGCAGCUCACUGGACUGUUACUGACACUGAGGCUCGAAAGUGUGGGUAUCAAACAGGAUUAGAUACCCUGGUAGUCCACACAGUAAACGAUGAAUACUCGCUGUUUGCGAUAUACAGCAAGCGGCCAAGCGAAAGCAUUAAGUAUUCCACCUGGGGAGUACGCCGGCAACGGUGAAACUCAAAGGAA
rnacentral:rRNA from 1 species